AUUGAACGCUGGCGGCAUGCCUUACACAUGCAAGUCGAACGGUAACAGGUCUUCGGAUGCUGACGAGUGGCGAACGGGUGAGUAAUACAUCGGAACGUGCCUAGUAGUGGGGGAUAACUACUCGAAAGAGUGGCUAAUACCGCAUGAGAUCUACGGAUGAAAGCAGGGGAUCGCAAGACCUUGUGCUACUAAAGCGGCCGAAGGCAGAUUAGGUAGGUGGUGGGAUAAAAGCUUACCAAGCCGACGAUCUGUAGCUGGUCUGAGAGGACGAUCAGCCACACUGGGACUGAGACACGGCCCAGACUCCUACGGGAGGCAGCAGUGGGGAAUUUUGGACAAUGGGCGCAAGCCUGAUCCAGCAAUGCCGCGUGCAGGAUGAAGGCCUUCGGGUUGUAAACUGCUUUUGUACGGAACGAAAAGCCCCGGGUUAAUACCCUGGGGUCAUGACGGUACCGUAAGAAUAAGCACCGGCUAACUACGUGCCAGCCGCCGCAGUAA
rnacentral:rRNA from 1 species